rnacentral:rRNA from 1 species
CGGCGUGCUUAACACAUGCAAGUCGAACGAUGAAGCCCUUCGGGGUGGAUUAGUGGCGAACGGGUGAGUAACACGUGGGCAAUCUGCCCUGCGACUCUGGGACAAGCCCUGGAAACGGGGUCUAAUACCGGAUACGACCUGCUCGAGGCAUCGGCUGCGGGUGGAAAGCUCCGGCGGUGCAGGAUGAGCCCGCGGCCUAUCAGCUUGUUGGUGGGGUGAUGGCCUACCAAGGCGACGACGGGUAGCCGGCCUGAGAGGGCGACCGGCCACACUGGGACUGAGACACGGCCCAGACUCCUACGGGAGGCAGCAGUGGGGAAUAUUGCACAAUGGGCGAAAGCCUGAUGCAGCGACGCCGCGUGAGGGAUGACGGCCUUCGGGUUGUAAACCUCUUUCAGCAGGGAAGAAGCGAAAGUGACGGUACCUGCAGAAGAAGCGCCGGCUAACUACGUGCCAGCAGCCGCGGUAAUACGUAGGGCGCAAGCGUUGUCCGGAAUUAUUGGGCGUAAAGAGCUCGUAGGCGGCUUGUCGCGUCGGAUGUGAAAGCCCGGGGCUUAACCCCGGGUCUGCAUUCGAUACGGGCAGGCUAGAGUUCGGUAGGGGAGAUCGGAAUUCCUGGUGUAGCGGUGAAAUGCGCAGAUAUCAGGAGGAACACCGGUGGCGAAGGCGGAUCUCUGGGCCGAUACUGACGCUGAGGAGCGAAAGCGUGGGGAGCGAACAGGAUUAGAUACCCUGGUAGUCCACGCCGUAAACGUUGGGAACUAGGUGUGGGCGACAUUCCACGUCGUCCGUGCCGCAGCUAACGCAUUAAGUUCCCCGCCUGGGGAGUACGGCCGCAAGGCUAAAACUCAAAGGAAUUGACG